GGAAGACAGAGAGAUAAAGAGAAAGAAAAAUAUCUUCAACAUGGUCUCAUAUUAUGAUCCAAGUCUUCUCAGCCAGCCAGGAUCACAGCAGCCAAGCAGAAGAGAGAAUAUGGAGAGAGCCUGCCUUGCCCAGGAGAGACACCUGUUGCUUCUGUUCAUGCCCCAUUGCCUCUGUUUGUGCUUGAGCUGUGUUUGAUCAGCUCAAUUUCUGUUUAGCAUCAAGGACCUUCUCCACCAG